rnacentral:rRNA from 1 species
AAAAACAUAACCUUUAGCAAAACAAGUAUUAAAGGCGACGCCUGCCCAGUGAGAUUUAAACGGCCGCGGUAUCCUAACCGUGCAAAGGUAGCGUAAUCACUUGUCUUAUAAAUAAAGACCUGUAUGAAUGGCUAAAUGAAUAUUUAACUGUCUCCUUUAACUAAUCAGUGAAACUGAUCUUUCAGUACAAAAGCUGAAAUAAAAGUAUAAGACGAGAAGACCCUGUGGAGCUUCAAAUUUUUAACAAAAUAUUUUUAAAAAUGUUUAAUGAUAAAAAAUUUUAAGUUGGGGCGACUUUGGAGUAAACCUAACCUCCAAGGAAAGGGCAUUGCCAAAAUUAGGCUAACCCGCCAAACUAUAUAGACCCAGUAUUGUAUACUGAUCAACGAACCAAGUUACCCCAGGGAUAACAGCGCCAUCCUCUUCAAGAGUUCCUAUCGACAAGAGGGUUUACGACCUCGAUGUUGGAUCAGGACACCCAAAUGGUGUAGCCGCUAUUAAAGGUUCGUUUGUUCAACGAUUAACAGUCCUACGUGAUCUGA